AUUGAACGCUAGCGGGAUGCUUACACAUGCAAGUCGAACGAGUGGCGGAAGGGUUAGAAAUAUAUCGGCACGUUCCCAGUAGCUGAGGAUACCUACUCGAAAGCAUGCUAUACCGCCUACUAUUGGCGCUGUCGAUAUCGGAUUAGCGAGUUGGUGGGGUACAGGCUCACCAAGGCAACGAUCCGUAGCUGGUUUGAGAGGACGACCAGCCACACUGGGACUGAGACACGGCCCAGACGCCUACGGGAGGCAGCAGUGGGGAAUUUUGGACAAUGGGGGAAACCCUGAUCCAGCCAUCCCGCGUGUAUGAUGAAGGCUUCGGGUUGUAAAGGACUUUCAGUCGGGAAGCGUUACCGACAGAAGAAGCACCGGCUAACUCCGUGCCAGCAGCCGCGGUAAUAC
rnacentral:rRNA from 1 species